CCUACGGGUGACAGCAGUGAGGAAUAUUGGUCAAUGGCCGGAAGGCUGAACCAGCUAUGCCGCGUGAAGGUCAGUGCCCUAUGGGCGUUAAACUUCUUUUGUGCGGGAGCAAUAAUGGUCACGUGUGGCCAGACGAGAGUACCGUAAGAAUAAGCAUCGGCUAACUCCGUGCCAGCAGCCGCGGUAAUACGGGGGAUGCAAGCGUUAUCCGGGUUUAAUGGGGUUAAAGGGUGCGUAGGGUGUGAGGUAAGUCAGCGGUGAAAAGCCCCCGCUCAACGGGGGGAAGUGCCAUUGAUACUGGCUAACUGGAAUGCGGGUGCCGUGGGAGGAAUGUGUGGUGUAGCAGUGAAAUGCAUAGAUAUCACACAGAACACCGAUUGCGAAGGCAUCUCACGAAUCCGCGAUUGACGCUGAUGCACGAAAGCGUGGGUAUCAAACAGGAUUAGAUACCCUUGUAGUC
rnacentral:rRNA from 1 species